GAUGAACGCUAGCGGCAAGCUUAAUACAUGCAAGUCGAGGGGCAGCAUGACUGUAGCAAUACAGUUGAUGGCGACCGGCAAACGGGUGCGGAACACGUACAGAACCUUCCUUCGAGCGGGGAAUAGCCCAGAGAAAUUUGGAUUAGUACCCCAUAGUAUUACGGAGUGGCAUCAAUUUGUAAUUAAAGAUUUAUCACUUGAAGAUGGCUGUGCGGUUGAUUAGAUAGUUGGCAGGGUAACGGCCUAGCAAGUCUACGAUCAGUAACUGGUGUGAGAGCACGACCAGUCACACGGGCACUGAGACACGGGCCCGACUCCUACGGGAGGCAGCAGUAAGGAUUAUUGGUCAAUGGACGAAAGUCUGAACCAGCUAUGCCGCGUGGAGGAUGAAGGCCCUCUGGGUUGUAAACUUCUUUUAUAUGGGACGAAAAAGGGCCUUUCUAGGCCAACUGACGGUACCAUGUGAAUAAGCACCGGCUAACUCCGUGCCAGCCGCCGCGGUAACAC
rnacentral:rRNA from 1 species